rnacentral:rRNA from 1 species
UACGUAGGGACCGAGCGUUGUCCGGAAUCAUUGGGCGUAAAGAGCGUGUAGGCGGCCUUUUAAGUCCUGCGUGAAAUCCUGCGGCUCAACCGCAGACGGUCGUGGGAAACUGGAAGGCUAGAGUGCGGGAGAGGAGAGUGGAAUUCCCGGUGUAGCGGUGAAAUGCGCAGAUAUCGGGAAGAACACCCGUGGCGAAGGCGGCUCUCUGGAACGCAACUGACGCUGAGAUGCGAAAGCGUGGGGAGCAAACAGG